GAGUUUACAUGCAUUUUAUUUUUAAACAACCUACAUGGCACGUUUUCUUAGAAACGAUGCCUCCGCUCCAGAUAAAGCAAGGUCAGAAUAAAUGAAGAGCUCAAGAUGACGUCAGUCCCAUCCGUCUUCAGUCCUGGUGUUGUGUGAAUGAGCAGCAGCCAGCUAUGACGACGGGUGAUAAUGUCCAAAGUUAAUAGCCAAAUUCGUCAACAUUUUUCCAUUUCUAAACCAUCCUUAAAGAAGAUCAUAUAUGGGGUCACACCCUACUCGCAGUAGGCCAGCGGGGCAGCCAUGCCUCCCGGAUUCAUGUUUUCACCAAUAAAAGACUGGUAGUUUUUAAAAAUAGCAAGGAUGUGCUCGAUUUGUCCUGCAGCCCCUGUCAUAAAAGGUUUCACCCUUUCUGGCCUCUGUUCUUCAAGUCUGCCUUUGACUGAUUUCACGUAAUCUUUGAUGUACUUCUCGUAGGCUUCCUUUGUGAAGCUGGUUUCCCGCAAGUGAUGUCGGAAGAGCCACGUGCAGGGAAAG